GACGAACGCUGGCGGCGUGCUUAACACAUGCAAGUCGAACGGAAAGGCCCUGCUCUUGUGGGGUGCUCGAGUGGCGAACGGGUGAGUAACACGUGAGUAACCUGCCCUUGACUUUGGGAUAACUUCAGGAAACCGGGGCUAAUACCGGAUAGGAGCUCCUGCUGCAUGGUGGGGGUUGGAAAGUUUCGGCGGUUGGGGAUGGACUCGCGGCUUAUCAGCUUGUUGGUGGGGUAGUGGCUUACCAAGGCUUUGACGGGUAGCCGGCCUGAGAGGGUGACCGGCCACAUUGGGACUGAGAUACGGCCCAGACUCCUACGGGAGGCAGCAGUGGGGAAUAUUGCACAAUGGGCGGAAGCCUGAUGCAGCAACGCCGCGUGCGGGAUGACGGCCUUCGGGUUGUAAACCGCUUUCGCCUGUGACGAAGCGUGAGUGACGGUAAUGGGUAAAGAAGCACCGGCUAACUACGUG
rnacentral:rRNA from 1 species